rnacentral:rRNA from 1 species
UACGGUGGGGGCAAGCGUUGUUCGGAAUUACUGGGCGUAAAGGGCUCGUAGGCGGCCAACUAAGUCCGACGUGAAAUCCCCAGGCUUAACCUGGGAACUGCGUCGGAUACUGGUUGGCUUGAAUCCGGGAGAGGGAUGCGGAAUUCCAGGUGUAGCGGUGAAAUGCGUAGAUAUCCGGAGGAACACCGGUGGCGAAGGCGGCUUCCUGGACCGACACUGACGCUGAGGCGCGAAAGCGUGGGGAGCGAACAGG